AAUAGAUACCCGGGUAGUCCACGCCGUAAACGAUGAGUGCUAAGUGUUAGAGGGUUUCCGCCCUUUAGUGCUGCAGCUAACGCAUUAAGCACUCCGCCUGGGGAGUACGGCCGCAAGGCUGAAACUCAAAGGAAUUGACGGGGGCCCGCACAAGCGGUGGAGCAUGUGGUUUAAUUCGAAGCAACGCGAAGAACCUUACCAGGUCUUGACAUCCUCUGCCAACCCUAGAGAUAGGGCGUUCCCCUUCGGGGGACAGAGUGACAGGUGGUGCAUGGUUGUCGUCAGCUCGUGUCGUGAGAUGUUGGGUUAAGUCCCGCAACGAGCGCAACCCUUGAUCUUAGUUGCCAGCAUUCAGUUGGGCACUCUAAGGUGACUGCCGGUGACAAACCGGAGGAAGGUGGGGAUGACGUCAAAUCAUCAUGCCCCUUAUGACCUGGGCUACACACGUGCUACAAUGGAUGGUACAAAGAGCUGCGAACCCGCGAGGGUAAGCCAAUCUCAUAAAGCCAUUCUCAGUUCGGAUU
rnacentral:rRNA from 1 species